CAUUUUAUUGUAGUCUUCUGACGAGCCAUGUAGUGAGGUACACCCACUACUUUCUAGGUGUAGAGAGUAGAGAAAUCCGCUCAAUCCUGAGUUUGAUAAUGAGGAAAGAGGCCCGGAGAAAUUAAGAAAUGCAUAUAAGGGCACACACUGUUAAACAGUAGAGCUGGGAUUGCCACCUAGAUGUUGGAUGAUGGAACCCACGCUUAACCACUACCCUGUCCCACCUCCCAGCGAGGGGAAGAGAAACAGCCACAGAGCCUCUGCCUUCUUUUAAAGCACAUGGCUUCACCUUCAGAGUGGAAUGCUGAGCCCUGCCUGGGCUUGCCCUGCGGCGUUUGGGCGAGGAGCUGAGGUCCUUGCAAAGAGUGGUGUGGUUGGUGCAUGGUUGCGUGUGCACUGCCCAGAUGCAGAGUGUGGACUUUGCUCAGAAGCACAGCAUCUGUGAAGCUUUCGGAAAUUAUCCCUCUGGCUCCAGCCCUUUCUAGAGAUCUCCACGCACAUCUCUGCAUGAAGGUUUCAGAGUCACUGGAUUUCCCAGGGCCUUCUCUUUGCUAGGAAUGUCUGAGACGCGCUCUGCAAGAUGAGUUGGCAGCAUCUCUGUGCCUCUGGUUUUGCCAGGCUCCACCAACAUCCCGCUAAGAACUCUUCACCCUCAAGCUCAUCUUCCCCGGCCCUCCUGCUGCUGUUCUGCGUGGGAACUGCCGCUCUCCCAUCUUCUCCAGCCAGCCCUCCUCUCUACUGCCGCAUCCGCGGCCCUUCACUGUCCUCACGACUGAUGCAUCCACCCUGGUCCACCUGCCCCAGAUGCUCCUUAGGGCAGCAGCCCCGCUGAAGCAUCUUCACAUUCCCAUAGAAAACUGUGGGAUGCCAGACAGGGACAAGCACCUCCAAGAUGAGGGGAUCAGAACUAGAAAUGAAAAGGGAUUUGUCGUUCAUCACCAAGAAAACCAACACGAGAGGCGGGAUUGGAACCCUGUCCCAUGGCAUCUGGGGUCGAUUUGUUUAGGGGGCCACGGGGCUUUUUCUCCCAUGUCCACCUUAGUGCACUGAGGGGAACCCCAGUGAAGGCCAAUGAGGGAAACCACACAUCACUGAGGGCCGACGGAGGCCCCCAAAGCUCAGAUCGCUGUGCUCGCCAGUAGGUCCCCAGACACCCUUAACACAGCUAUCUGCAGGAUUGAAUGAUUGCUGGGACCACACAAUUUACACUUGGCUCUCGUGGUCCGGAGGGGAGGACUGCGCCAGCAUGAGAAGACCAGAGAGCAAGUAAAUGGAAAUUUGGCGAGAUCCUGUGGCUGCUGUUGGUGGCUGCAGCCAGACAGGAAAACUGAGAUGGUGUGAGCAGAAAGGGCUGGAAGGAGUUGGCUUUUUCCAAGAAAUUACAGCGGAAUCUUCUUCCAAGAGGCUGGGGGCCUCUGCAGACAUGAUCUCAUUACUUACCCCCCAAAUCCCCCAGCUUCCCUACGGACCAAGGACCAGGGGUCUCUGCCCAGUCCUAGCUCCAAGGAAACUCACACUUGGCAGAUUUUCCUAAUCGGAGCUGGCCUUGAAGUUUGCUCACUGAUAAUCACCAGAAAGUCACCCCAACAAUGGGUGAUGCCAGAGUGUCCUCAAGCUUCAAGGGUCCGUAAAAACACUUGACUCCCCCAGGACAAAAAUGACUGGGGGAAACAUGCAGUUCUUCAAAGAGAACGGUUUCAUUCUGUACCAAAGGGUGUCUUAAUUUGCCUUGGCAAGAGAGGCAGCACCGUGUUGUGGGUGGACAGCACUCGGGGGGUGGACGGCACUCGGG
rnacentral:lncRNA from 10 species